AGUGGAGAACACAACGCAUAUCUCUCUGUCAUAGAGUAUCGCUGCAAUGAGCCUUACUACAGAUUUAAGGAUACUCCUAAAGUAAGAUACAAGUGUGCAAAUGACCGGAAAUGGACAGAAGACAACAACAUUGCUGUUAUUCCUCCUUGUUAUUCUGUGUGUGGAAUGAAUACAGAGGUCUCUUCUGGUGGCAGAGUCUUUGGUGGGAAGCCAGCCAGACUGGGGCAGAUUCCCUGGCAGCU